rnacentral:rRNA from 1 species
AUGAACGCUGGCGGCGUGCCUAAUACAUGCAAGUCGAGCGAACGGACGAGAAGCUUGCUUCUCUGAUGUUAGCGGCGGACGGGUGAGUAACACGUGGAUAACCUACCUAUAAGACUGGGAUAACUUCGGGAAACCGGAGCUAAUACCGGAUAAUAUUUUGAACCGCAUGGUUCAAAAGUGAAAGACGGUCUUGCUGUCACUUAUAGAUGGAUCCGCGCUGCAUUAGCUAGUUGGUAAGGUAACGGCUUACCAAGGCAACGAUGCAUAGCUGACCUGAGAGGGUGAUCGGCCACACUGGAACUGAGACACGGUCCAGACUCCUACGGGAGGCAGCAGUAGGGAAUCUUCCGCAAUGGGCGAAAGCCUGACGGAGCAACGCCGCGUGAGUGAUGAAGGUCUUCGGAUCGUAAAACUCUGUUAUUAGGGAAGAACAUAUGUGUAAGUAACUGUGCACAUCUUGACGGUACCUAAUCAGAAAGCCACGGCUAACUACGUG